GAUGAACGCUGGCGGCGUGCCUAAUACAUGCAAGUCGAGCGAACGGACGAGAAGCUUGCUUUUCUGAUGUUAGCGGCGGACGGGUGAGUAACACGUGGAUAACCUACCUAUAAGACUGGGAUAACUUCGGGAAACCGGAGCUAAUACCGGAUAAUAUUUUGAACCGCAUGGUUCAAAAGUGAAAGACGGUGUUGCUGUCACUUAUAGAUGGAUCCGCGCUGCAUUAGCUAGUUGGUAAGGUAACGGCUUACCAAGGCAACGAUGCAUAGCCGACCUGAGAGGGUGAUCGGCCACACUGGAACUGAGACACGGUCCAGACUCCUACGGGAGGCAGCAGUAGGGAAUCUUCCGCAAUGGGCGAAAGCCUGACGGAGCAACGCCGCGUGAGUGAUGAAGGUCUUCGGAUCGUAAAACUCUGUUAUUAGGGAAGAACAUAUGUGUAAGUAACUGUGCACAUCUUGACGGUACCUAAUCAGAAAGCCACGGCUAACUACGUG
rnacentral:rRNA from 1 species